CACCAUGAAAUAUACCGCUCAGAAACUUUUAUCAGCCAACGCGGUCAUUUUUCAUAUAGUUUUAUCUGUGUCAAUCGUAAAUAGUAUAGCAAUUCGAGAACGCCACAUGGCGUGACUAUAUGUAUACGAUCCUUUUAUCAUUUCAAUAAAACAAGGGUGGUCAGUUUAACGGAGCACAAAUUAGUGUCACCGGGUCGAUAACGUCAAUCUAAAAUUGUAUUACCAUGCUUAAAAUAUUUGGAAGAAAUACGGUCAAAAAAAAAGAAAAAUUAAACGUAUUAUUAACAAUUUGAACGUUUGAAGUUGUUUCUAGAUAGUGAGGCGUCAUUCCGGUCAGUGUCCAUAGCAGUCGGUACAUAGUAAACCCAUAAAAUCACAUAAAUUGGGCAAUAUUUCAGGAAAUAGCGACCCCAGACAGAGCUUUGGUGCAGCUUGGACAAGAGGACAGUAUUCGUUGAACAAAAGCAUAUUAUCGAAGUCUCUGUUUGGAGAAGAAGAUACUUGAAAAGUAUAAGUACAGCAUAGAGCACCACCAAGACUCGUUGCCCAUUCUCGCGAGCCAUUUCGGACAUUUCCGGUACUUUAGUCACGGGUUUGUCGAUUCUUAUGAUCACGUCACCCAGUAAAUGCAUUAGUGCGGUUUUGCGAAAAUGUACCCAAAAACAAAUAGUCGUAGAAAAAGUAUAAUAUGCUUGCGUGCUAUGUGUUGAUAAACUUCUUCAGUGACUCGCAACUAAAAUGGCGUUUAUCAAACUUCUUGCACGAUAUAUUAACUUACCUAGAUGUGGAUUAAUGAGGGUACUUAAAGUGUGGAAAGAUAAAAAACUACUGGUGCUCUAGCUUUGAUGACGGGAAUUACAGUACAUCGGGAAGAGGAAGAAAACUAAUAUUUGCACACGUUGGAAGUGAAAA